CGUGGAGGGUGCUGGGCGGGCGGAGGCAGGGGACUGGAGUAGUCAAGUCGGCUUGCCGGCUUCCCAAGUCUCGCGUGACACGUGGUUUCCACCCAGGCGGAAGUGUCCUACAGCUCUUUUAGGCUGAGGGACUUGAAAAGCAUUCCUGGAAGUGGCGUGAGUUCUGGUGACACUCGAGUCCAAAGUUACCUGGGACCGACUCUUGUCAGGAAUUUUGAGAGACAUGGAAUGUAGUCUGGACAAGAGAAGGAGUUUAUCCUCAUAAAGCAAAACGAAAUGUCAAAGCAUAUUUGGAAAAUAUCAAAGACAACAUACCAGAGAGAGGAAAAGAUGCAACCUGCCAGGACCUGAAAGAAGAAAUUAGAGAAAGCAGAGACCAUUAAUACUCAGAAAAUGGGAAGUUGUCGGUUUGACGAUGCCAUUACCUUACUGUGAGACCUCCUGCAGUGACUCAACUUCUCUGUGCUUGAUAAGAUGAAACAGUAACCACCACCUUUGGAUUGUUGGGAAGAUCAAAGGUACUAGAAAGUGCUUUGAUCGUGUUGAGCAGUGGAGCAAAUGGGAAUUAGAACAUACUUCUGAACUGAGUUCACCAAUUAAGCAAAGCCAUCUCUCUCUUGGACAUGUAAGGUGGGUUUUUUUUAUUUUUUUCUAUCUGUAAAAUUAGAAUCAAAGAAAGAAGCAAUUCCAAGUUUGAGAAG
rnacentral:lncRNA from 1 species